AUUGAACGCUGGCGGCAUGCCUUACACAUGCAAGUCGAACGGCAGCGGACCUUCGGGUGCCGGCGAGUGGCGAACGGGUGAGUAAUAUAUCGGAACGUACCUUUCAGUGGGGGAUAACGUAGCGAAAGUUACGCUAAUACCGCAUAUUCUGUGAGCAGGAAAGCAGGGGAUCGCAAGACCUUGCGCUGAUUGAGCGGCCGAUAUCAGAUUAGCUAGUUGGUGAGGUAAAGGCUCACCAAGGCGACGAUCUGUAGCGGGUCUGAGAGGAUGAUCCGCCACACUGGAACUGAGACACGGUCCAGACUCCUACGGGAGGCAGCAGUGGGGAAUUUUGGACAAUGGGCGCAAGCCUGAUCCAGCCAUGCCGCGUGAGUGAGAAGGCCUCGGUUGUAAGC
rnacentral:rRNA from 1 species